CCUACGGGGGGCUGCAGUGGGGAAUAUUGGACAAUGGGGGCAACCCUGAUCCAGCCAUGCCGCGUGUGUGAAGAAGGCCCUCGGGUUGUAAAGCACUUUCAGUGAGGAAGAACGCCUGGUGGUUAAUACCCAUCAGGAAAGACAUCACUCACAGAAGAAGCACCGGCUAACUCCGUGCCAGCAGCCGCGGUAAUACGGAGGGUGCGAGCGUUAAUCGGAAUACUGGGCGUAAAGCGCGCGUAGGUGGCUUGAUAAGCCGGUUGUGAAAGCCCCGGGCUCAACCUGGGAACGGCAUCCGGAACUGUCAAGCUAGAGUGCAGGAGAGGAAGGUAGAAUUCCCGGUGUAGCGGUGAAAUGCGUAGAGAUCGGGAGGAAUACCAGUGGCGAAGGCGGCCUUCUGGACUGACACUGACACUGAGGUGCGAAAGCGUGGGUAGCAAACAGGAUUAGAUACCCUGGUAGUC
rnacentral:rRNA from 1 species